UACGAAGGGGCUAGCGUUGCUCGGAAUCACUGGGCGUAAAGGUGCGUAGGCGGUCUUUAAGUCAGGGUGAAUCCUGGAGCUCAACUCCAGAACUGCCUUGAUACUGAGGAUCUUGAGUACGGAGAGUGAGUGACUGCGAGUGUAGAGGUGAAUCGUAGAUAUCGCAGACACAGUGCGAAGCGCUCACUGCCGUACUGACGCUGAGCACGAAGCGUGGGAGCAACAGG
rnacentral:rRNA from 1 species